GGCAUGCCUUACACAUGCAAGUCGAACGGUAACAGGUCUUCGGAUGCUGACGAGUGGCGAACGGGUGAGUAAUACAUCGGAACGUGCCCGAUCGUGGGGGAUAACGAGGCGAAAGCUUUGCUAAUACCGCAUACGAUCUACGGAUGAAAGCGGGGGAUCUUUGGACCUCGCGCGGACGGAGCGGCCGAUGGCAGAUUAGGUAGUUGGUGGGAUAAAAGCUUACCAAGCCGACGAUCUGUAGCUGGUCUGAGAGGAUGAUCAGCCACACUGGGACUGAGACACGGCCCAGACUCCUACGGGAGGCAGCAGUGGGGAAUUUUGGACAAUGGGCGAAAGCCUGAUCCAGCCAUGCCGCGUGCAGGAUGAAGGCCUUCGGGUUGUAAACUGCUUUUGUACGGAACGAAAAGCCUCUUUCUAAUAAAGAGGGGUCAUGACGGUACCGUAAGAAUAAGCACCGGCUAACUACGUGCCAGCAGCCGCGGUAAUACGUAGGGUGCAAGCGUUAA
rnacentral:rRNA from 1 species